UCAUCAUUAUUGUCAUCCUCUUCUUCAUCAUCCACCCAAGAAGCUCCAUAAUCCUCGUCUUGAACAGCCUCUCUAGUAAACCAAGAAACAGCGUGUGGUAUAAUCUUAUCCCUGAGAGUAGAUCUGGCAACAUGGGCAAGCUAAUUUAUAACCAGAAUAAUUACUUGUUCAACUUACGGUAUUUUCAUCUAUUUUUGCAUCAUCAUCUGGAACUUGAGGGGGGCUAAAGAAAUUAAAGAAGCUCUCACAUUCUUCAGUCUUUGUUAUAGGUUUAGUGCUCUCUGAACUCUCCUUUAGAUUUUUUUCAUCCUAACAAAUACACAAAUUUGCAGGAACAAAAUGAUAUAUACCCAAUUGCUUUCUCUAGGAUGGGUUCAUCAUCUUCAUCGAUCAUGUGGUAUGUUUUAGUCAGCACUUGAUUUUUAAAGAAGGGAUUUGUAUAGAAGAAGAAUUCGAACUUAAAACCCUUUGGAUCAUCAAUUCUACACCAUUUGAUGUCCUUAAGGUACUUUAGAGCUUCCUCAUCGCUCUCAUGGAUCUGUCACUAGAACAGCACAUCAUAUUGAAAACUCAUAAACAUAAUUCAAGAUAUGUUUCUUAGAGGAGAGUUGCCUGUACAUAAAACAUGCAUCUCUUUUUGAAAAGAAAGAUAGGUGAGGUAAGGCCAGAUUGCAUUACAUUGCAACAAAAAGUAUGUGUUACCUUUGAGUACAAUGGUCCAUAAAGCUUCUGAUAUUUAGCUUCUAGAGCAGCUUUUUCCUCGAAGAACUUCACUUCUAGUUCAUCAUGUUGGCUCUGAAACAUUUAACAUCACAUCGACGCGCUUCCUGACCGAGGGUGCCAGGCUCUCGAGCACGUCAACAUGUUGCUCCGCCAACGCCUGCAGCUUGUUCU
rnacentral:sRNA from 1 species